AUGCAAGUCGAACGGCAGCACGGGGGCAACCCUGGUGGCGAGUGGCGAACGGGUGAGUAAUACAUCGGAACGUGUCCUGUAGUGGGGGAUAGCCCGGCGAAAGCCGGAUUAAUACCGCAUACGCUCUACGGAGGAAAGGGGGGGAUCUUAGGACCUCCCGCUACAGGGGCGGCCGAUGGCAGAUUAGCUAGUUGGUGGGGUAAAGGCCUACCAAGGCGACGAUCUGUAGCUGGUCUGAGAGGACGACCAGCCACACUGGGACUGAGACACGGCCCAGACUCCUACGGGAGGCAGCAGUGGGGAAUUUUGGACAAUGGGGGCAACCCUGAUCCAGCAAUGCCGCGUGUGUGAAGAAGGCCUUCGGGUUGUAAAGCACUUUUGUCCGGAAAGAAAACCUCGUGGUUAAUACCCGUGGGGGAUGACGGUACCGGAAGAAUAAGCACCGGCUAA
rnacentral:rRNA from 2 species